AGAAUCAACGCUGGCGGCGUGCCUAACACAUGCAAGUCGAACGAGAAAGUGGAGCAAUCCAUGAGUAAAGUGGCGUACGGGUGAGUAACACGUGACUAACCUACCCUCGAGUGGGGAAUAACCUCGGGAAACCGGGCUAAUACCGCAUAACAUCUUCGGAUCAAAUGCGUAAGCAGCUUGAGGAGGGGUCGCGGCCGAUUAGCUAGUUGGCGGGGUAAUGGCCCACCAAGGCAAUGAUCGGUA
rnacentral:rRNA from 1 species